ACCCCGCGGCCCCCGCCGUCGCCCCUCAAGCCUCCCCCGCCGACGCCGCCGCAAGCAGGAACGCGCGCCCGUCGCACCUCCCCCGUCGCGCCUCCCCCGCCGACGCCGCCGCAAGCAGGAACGGGCGCCCGUCGCGUCUCCCCCGCCGACGCCACCGAGAGAAGGAACGCGCGCCUGCGCCGUCGUGCCCCUCGAAGUCGCCUCUGGCGCGCUGCGGGGAUCUGCACCAUCGCGGUGCCCGAUUUGCGUGCGGAUCCUCCACCACUCCCCACCCCGGUCUAUGGGCGGACGGGCAGAUCGAUCCGGCGGAGCAACGCGUGGACCUUUAGACGCGCCGAGGUGCGACCCCCCUCCCCCUUCGCUGAUUUGCCUCCAGCCUCCCCCGCCCACGCCACCAACGCGGGGUCGUGCCUCCCCGCUCCGGCAUCCCCGCCGUGCCUCACCGCCGACGUCCUCGCGGGACCUCACAGCUGCUGGGCUUCCGGGCUCUCUGCCGUGCUUGCCGACGCCUUCUCAAACUCCAACGAGCCGGCGCCCUCGAAGUGGACGGGGACACCCCCGAUCCGGUGCCUCCACGACGAUUCACUCUGAUCCGUGGCCCCCCGUCGUCUUCCCCGAAUUCGGCGUUGCCCACGGACCCGCACGCCACGGAACUCGCCCCGUCACCUGCCUCCCCUACUUUGUUGAAUCACUGGUUCGCACCUCAGAUUGAUUGUUUCAAGCUGUAAUGGCUGGGCGGAACAACCUGAACCAAUCCUCUGCAACACUGCAAGGCGUCAGAUUGGAAGCCAGUGAUCUCGGCAUUGUGACAGCAUAACAGUGGUAUAAAUAAUAUUUUUUAUGAGGUCAUUUGAGCAUACCACUCAAAUAUGCCAUUGAUACGAUAACAGACCUUUGAAAUUGCCUGCGUCAAUCUCUUGUUUUGUCAUAAACAGCAGUAUGAGAUGUUUGAAUGUUGUUUUUCAGGGAAACAGUAUGUUGCCUGGCAUAUAUGAUGUGACUAAGUGAGUUCCAAUUCCUCAAAAUUGAUCCUCUUCAAAUAAAAAAUUUUAUGAGCUUAAUUACUCACUUUAGGAUUGCAGUUUUGCUUAGACAUGCAGGUCUUAAUAAUCUUACACAAGCAACUAGGUCAGCCAACAUAUGAUCGAUGUUCCUUAUUUCAAAGGAACACUUAUAUCAUGCUACACUUGCAUGAUCCUUAGGAGUGUGUAGUUGUACCAGUUAUCAAUCAGUAGUUGACAACGCACGCUGAUUACUAAUGUCAAACUUCUACCCUUUGUAUUUGGAGAAGAUCUGGAAACGGAGCAGGAACCAUGCCAUAACAUUUUCAAGCACCUAAUUAUUUUAAUUAGAAAUCCAUAAAACAGUCAGGACCUUUCGGUUACCUUCUGGUAACCUGCUCGACACAGUAUUGGUUUUGGUUUUAGCUUUGACUUUGCAGUCUGGUUUUAUUAGACAUUUCUUUGGUGAAAGUCAAGUUGACCUAAUUUUUAUUUCCUAUUCAACUCAUGAUUUUUCUAGCACACUAUGAUGUUUCGAUUUGCAACUAUUUGUCAAAACAAUGCAAUUCCUGCUUUACAUAUCGAGAAACAAUGCAAUUUCUGGUUGAAAAAUAUACCAUGGUGUAGUUAAUAACAUAUCUAAAAAUUGAAACUAUUUGCAGAAUAGCAAAUAUCUGCAUUGAAUAGCAGAAUUGAGUGUUUGUAGAAUUGUUCUUGACUGGCAAUUUACUAUUUGAGAAUAUUUGUGUAUUAGUACAUCAGGACUACACAUAUUUGAAUGAAGUUCAGUUCUAAAUCAUUAAGUGCAAUGGUACAUAAUCAUCCUAUGUCUUUCUAAGCUCGACAAGUUUUUCCAUGAUAAUCCUGAUCUGGUUUUGUUGGACUGAGCGUAGCAGAUCCUACAGCAACACUGCAGAACCCAACAUCGAAGGAACUGAGCAUUGGCAGGCUCAAGAUCAAGUUUCGACUUUUGGCUGGGACCAGAUCACCCACCCACGCUUAGUAGUACUGCACCAAGACCUGUUUGGCAUGGUACUGAUUUUAUUUGGAUCCUACAGUUGCUGCAAUCAAAGGUGGUAAAGAUAGAAAUGCUGAUUUUGAGCACUAUGCAAUAUUUCAGGUAUCACACAAAACAUUUAAUUGUUGCUGCCGUUAUGAUUUCCAUUAUUACAUAUUCUUGGUGUAAUAUUGAGAAAAAUACACACUGGUUUUGAAACCUUGGUUUUACAAUAAGACAAAAAAACAUUUGGACAGAAAUCUUGGUGUCUACCCUGGCCUUGUUUCUUGGGAAAAUAGGUCUUUUGUUCUGUUUGUGAAUUUGACUUCCUAAUUUUGUAUGGUAUAUAUUUGGUAGAUAACCUCUUUCAUUGAGCGUCAUAACAUCUGUAUGUGGUGGGCUUUAUUCAAGAGAGGGUAUGAAAUAGGGAACAAGUUUAAAAUGAUGCUGGCUUAAAGCUUCCUGCUGCCAGCCAUUCUUGGGUGUUCUUAAUUCAUCUCCACAAUAUAUAUUUUAGGUUAGCCAACUGGUGUUGCACAAAUGCUACCCUCUGUUGCAAUAGUCCCAAAAUUAAUACAUGAUCUGAAUCACUUUAUCUGCUCAACAAGGAACAGGGCAUUGCAUCUCAUACUUGGCAAAUGGAAGAUCUGAUCUAAAGUGUGGUUAUCCCAUUCUCAUAUCAUGCUGAGGCACUAGCAAGGAGAAUUGUUCUUAUAGCGUAAUAAAUUCUUGAUAUUUAAUUGGGAAGAUUAGAAUCAGUAUUUGGCAAGGGGAAAGAUCGGGCACUCACGUUCUGGUUACAUGCAUGUGUUCGGUAACAUGCUCAUGCAAUUAGAUGGGUACAGUUAAACGCGCAUGCAGAAGAUUAAAGGAAAUAGUGCAAUUAAUUGAACCCCACAAGUAGGUCCAAAUUAAAAUCUACAAUUGUAAUCGUUCUGGAAAAAAAGUAAUCGUACAUUGCAUUCUUUGUUGAAAUGGAUGGAGUACCCUUCUCUGUUAAUCGAGACAAAACUCUAACAAAUAAAAGGGUUUGUUUCGAAUUUGUAGUAGAUUUGUCUAGAUGAACAUGCUGAAUUACUGCAUUAUUGUAUUUGGGUACUUUGGUACUAUUGAGUCACAACUAGAAAGCUUAAUCCUUGUUCUUCUGUGUUCAAUGUGGCCGAACUUUGAAAGUGAUUACAAGUCUGAUUUGGUUCUUCUGAAUGUCAUUGUCGCACAGGGUAUAUGCACCUGUCUAUGACCAAUGUGUUUCUAUCAUCAAUGUCAGUAAAAUGAAAAGUAAUUUUAGGAGUAUGGUGUUAUCUACCUACAGCACUAACUGUUAUGUUGCUCUAAUUAUCCCAAAUACAUGGAUCUGUAUCUAUUCUAAAGUAGGAGAUGGCCUAGAGGUGAAACUGAACAAAGGAAGAGCACAUGUUUGACUAUCCCUUCCCAUGUGUUUUUUAUGGCAGAUAGAACUUACAUUAUAAAGUUGCAGUAAUAUGAAUAAAAGAUGUUUGAGGUGUGAAAAGCAGCCUUUCAUGGUGAGAAGCUAAUUAUCCCUGUGAUGUCUGGCUCUGAUGCUUGGCAAGAUUUCAAGCAUCAAUUGUGCUACCAUUGUGUACAAGUAUUUACCCCUCCAUAUUCACUGAUAAAAUAUUUUUUAUGCCAUAAUAAGUAUCGUGCAGCUAUAAAUAUUCAUUUUUGAUAAUAUUAAUGUCUUAUUUGUGAAUAUCGAUACAUGUGCAGGUGGGCUAACGGAGAAGAUUUUAGUGUACCCAAAGGCUGAGUGAGAAAUAUGGAUGGAUCUUGCUACAUUUUUAGAUCAUAUUUUAAAUUAUGGUGUUGCAUCAAUUAGACCAUAUUUUAAAUUCCUGUACCAAUCAAUAAUUAAUAAUGAAUUAAGACAAGUUCUUACGGUGGCUCUGAUAUAAUAUUUUUGUUGAACUAUUAUUGUUAA